AAAGAAUUAGUUAAAAUUUAUAACAUUAAUAUGUCAUAUUAAAAGUAUUUUUAUUAAAAUAUUCUUUU
rnacentral:tRNA from 1 species